AUCUGUAGCUGGUCUGAGAGGACGACCAGCCACACUGGAACUGAGACACGGUCCAGACUCCUACGGGAGGCAGCAGUGGGGAAUUUUGGACAAUGGGCGCAAGCCUGAUCCAGCCAUUCCGCGUGCAGGAUGAAGGCCUUCGGGUUGUAAACUGCUUUUGUACGGAACGAAACGGUCUGCCCUAAUACGGUGGGCUAAUGACGGUACCGUAAGAAUAAGCACCGGCUAACUACGUGCCAGCAGCCGCGGUAAUACAUAGGGUGCGAGCGUUAAUCGGAAUUACUGGGCGUAAAGCGUGCGCAGGCGGUUUUUGUAAGACAAGGCGUGAAAAUCCCCGGGCUCAACCUGGGAACUGCGCUUGUGACUGCAAGGCUAGAGUUUGGCAGAAGGGGGGUGGAAUUUCCACGUGUAGCAGUGAAAUGCGGUAGAGAUGUGGGAGGAACACCAAUGGCGAAGGCAGCCCCCCUGGGCCAAUACUGACGCUCAUGCACGAAAGCGUGGGUAGCAAACAGGAUUAGAUACCCCUGGUAGUCCACGCCCUAAACGAUGUCAACUAGGUGUUGGGUGGGUAAAACCAUUUAGUACCGGAGCUAACGCGUGAAGUUGACCGCCUGGGGAGUACGGCCGCAAGGUUAAAACUCAAAGGAAUUGACGGGGACCCGCACAAGCGGUGGAUGAUGUGGAUUAAUUCGAUGCAACGCGAAAAACCUUACCUACCCUUGACAUGUCCAGGAGCCUGAAGAGAUUUGGGUGUGCCCGAAAGGGAACUGGAACACAGGUGCUGCAUGGCUGUCGUCAGCUCGUGUCGUGAGAUGUUGGGUUAAGUCCCGCAACGAGCGCAACCCUUGUCGUUAAUUGCCAUCAUUUAGUUGGGCACUUUAACGAGACUGCCGGUGACAAACCGGAGGAAGGUGGGGAUGACGUCAAGUCCUCAUGGCCCUUAUGGGUAGGGCUUCACACGUCAUACAAUGGUCGGUACAAAGGGUUGCCAACCCGCGAGGGGGAGCCAAUCCCAGAAAGCCGAUCGUAGUCCGGAUUGUAGGCUGCAACUCGCCUGCAUGAAGUCGGAAUCGCUAGUAAUCGUGGAUCAGCAUGUCACGGUGAAUACGUUCCCGGGUCUUGUACACACCGCCCGUCACACCAUGGGAGCGGGUUCCGCCAGGAGUAGGUAGCCUAACCGCAAGGGGGGCGCUUACCACGGCGGGGUUCGUGACUGGGGUG
rnacentral:rRNA from 1 species